rnacentral:rRNA from 1 species
UGGGGAAUAUUGCACAAUGGGGGAAACCCUGAUGCAGCGACGCCGCGUGAGCGAUGAAGGCUUUCGAGUCGUAAAGCUCUGUCCUAUGGGAAGAUAAUGACGGUACCAUAGAAGAAGCAACGGCUAAAUACGUGCCAGCAGCCGCGGUAAUACGUAUGUUGCGAGCGUUAUCCGGAAUUAUUGGGCUUAAAGGGCAUCUAGGCGGUAAGACAAGUUGAAGGUGAAAACCUGUGGCUCAACCAUAGGCUUGCCUACAAAACUGUUGAACUAGAGUACUGGAAAGGUGGGUGGAACUACACGAGUAGAGGUGAAAUUCGUAGAUAUGUGUAGGAAUGCCGAUGAUGAAGAUAACUCACUGGACAGAAACUGACGCUGAAGUGCGAAAGCUAGGGGAGCAAACAGG